GAUGCCAGUAACAGCCUUCCUAAAGCGUAUUGCUACCAAACCUGACCUUUUUCUUUCUGACAAAUCAAAACAUAAAUCUUAAAAAAAUUGUGCAAUUCUUCGUUACAGAACAAGUUUUUAGGACACACCAGUGACUUUCACGUCAUCAUGGCAUGAUACAGACAUCCAGGUGAUGGAGGGCUCUUCGGGUUCACACAGGAAGGCCUUUUAUUUUUUUUUAAAGGAAGAAGACCGAUUACAUAACUGCUGAAGAGGAGAUUAUCCUUGUGAUUGAUGGAAGCUACUGGAAGCAGAAUAUGUACAAAAGAAAGGUUCUUCAGUUCACCUAUUAGAACUUCAAAAGGUUAUUAAGAACCCUCUGGUGAAGGUCAAUGUUUUUAAUAGCAAAGACCCUCUUGAAAUGCUGAACAAUCUACUGUACUGAGUAUUUGCUGGCAAAAAAGCAUCAAUGUGGAAUCUCCCAGGAUGAAUCUGUCCAGACAUGCAAAAACUCUAUUAUUCUCUUUGUUUAGAUUUCUAAGUAGUUCACUUGGAUUGUCAUCAUUGCGACACACACCUGAUUUAUGUUGAAGGUGUGUAGAUAAACACUACAUAUGCUUGCAACAGAGAGGAAACUGAAUUUAGGGGACAAUGACAGGUAGCAUUACAACACAGCCAGAAGACACUGUCACUAAUCAAAACAGGCCAACACCCAAGAAACACUCCUUAACCACGCAAGGAACAAAAGACUGUUCAGCACUCCUGUACUCAGGGGCGGCCCUAGCACAUUUGGCGCUCUAGGCGAGCUUCACUCCUGGCGCCCCCCCAUUUUUUUUAUGUCAAAAUAUUUGUUGAAGAUAUAGAAGGGGGCGCAAAAAAAAACUCUGUCCAGCAAAAAAAAAAAACACAAUUCUUGUUUUUUUUUUGUUUUUUUGCUGGGCGCAGUUUUUUGCGCCCCCCUCUGAGUGGCACCCUAGGCGACCGCCUGUAGGAAAAACCGCCCCUGCCUGUACUGGUUACUCUAACUUGGAUCUGGCUUUCUGGUCUUUUGCUGUGGUCUAUAACAUUUUGCCAAGUGUGCAAAUACUGAGCUGGUUCCUUAUCGCAGUUCACUGCGAUAUAACAUAAUGGUACAUGACGUCAGUCAUGGCUACAAAUCGAAGCAUUUAUCUAUUCACGCCUGAAAGGCCGCGAGAUCUGUCAGCGUGCGCUCCUGGCCCCGCCUGCCAGGAGUACUAUAAUAUCAUUACGCGCCCUCAGAUCUGCCUCUUUUGAAACUUCGCAAGACGGAGUGAACAUCUCCGAGCAUAUCUCGAACGCUCUACCACAGUCAAAAG
ensembl:lncRNA